CGCGGAACUGGUUGUUUAUCGGGCGUCACGGCACACUUUGGCACAACUUACACCGAUUUAAAUGUCGUAAAACUGUUACUCCGGUGGCCCUUAUUCUUCCUGUAAGCUGAGAGUACACUCCUCCUUCGCCAUGUGUUACCUGACAGGAGUUAGUUUCACCGAGUGUUGUUCUCAAUGGGUGUGUCUCUUUCCUGCUUGGGAACUGCUUUAUUCUUUCUUUCUCAAUGCAUUCAUCUGUUCUAAAGCCGUCUCACCAUCUCUUCCUCAUUUGAACACAGGUAAACCCUACAGUUUUGCAUUCCAGUCAUAGUUCUGAAUGUAUGUUUGCCAGUUUUCACGUGGAAAACGAGCUUCAGCAUGUCUGCUCCUGCCAGUGAUGAUGGUGCUGUGUCUCGCCAUCUAACGGCCUGUGCUGAUAUGAUAUGCAAAUAUGGUAGAUGUGUGCUGAUGGAUGGGAAGCCCACCUGUGAGUGUAUGCUGGGCUACAUUGGAGACACCUGUAACGAAACGAUCAAUAACUCUCUGUCUGUGCCGCUCACCCUCGGUUUCCUGGCUUUCAUCAUUGGCUUUAUCAUCCUGUUCUUUGGGAUGGCUUUUUUCCGGCAAAGGCAAAAGGCGAAGAAGAGAGAAAAGGUAGCUGAAGAAGCCCUGUUAAGAAACGGAGCACAUCUUUAACAUGUUUUAAUGCCAAAAAAUAGGUUUGUGGUUCUACAACACAAUGUCUCAAAUGAACUCUAUUAUGAUGGUAACUUACUCUUUUCUCUCUCUCUUUGUGUCCCUCUUCAAACUGUAUCUUC